UCUGCUGAUUCAGAUUCACAUUCACUGAGUGAUUUAAAAGACGUGUGCUGAAGGAUGAUUGUGAUUGCUACAAAAUAUUUAGUUAUUUACUUAGCAACACCGUUUAUUUUCAAAAUUGUUUCAAAAUGAAUCGUGGUGGAUCCAGAAAGCCACGGCGAGUUCCGAGAGACAAGCGAUACCCAGAUAAGGCGUUUUCAGAGCUUGUUCUCAGUCAAAACCAACAACCAAGGUUAUCACAUCAAUUCCUAACCAAAGAACCUGACAUCCACUUUAUGGAUGAAGAACCUGUUGACGGUGUCAGUCUCGUUAGAGAUUCUCAACUUGUCCGACAGAUGCAGGUCCUGCUAGGAAAUUAUGUUGUAGCUUGUAUAUUUGAGCACACAUUCUUCCCAGCCUUGUGGGCCAUUCCAUUAUCCAUGAAAACAUCCAUCAGGUCCAGUCAAAGACUCAUUUUAUGAUGCCUAAACCAUCCGGACCUCGAUUUCUACUUUACAUCGACUCUACCGGCCAAACUUACUUGGAGAACAUGACUCAACACUUCUUCCUCGUGCACACUGAUCGCGCCGUUCAAUUCAUCUCCAAAGAUGGUCGAGCAACAAUCGACACCGUCCUCGAUGGCAUUUUUACCAAGGAUGAGAAGGGCGGAAGACUGACGUUUUUCGUCUGCGAUGCCGUUCGAUGCAAUGGUGUAAACCUCACGAAAAUGAACGCUUUUCAACGCAUCGCAUUUGUCAAGGAAAAUUUGAUGAAGCCGCGAUUGAAUGCGGUGGAGCACCAAACGAUAUCCAUUAAGAACGAGGUUUUCAAUUUGGAUAUAGUGGAAUGCCUGGACUGUAAUUCAGCUGAUUUUCUGGAUACAGAAUUCGAAAAAGAGUUCAAAUAUCCACUUCGUUCUUUAGUCUUCUUCCCACGAAACCAGGAAUACGUCGGUGGGACGUGUAAAAAUGUUUUAAAGUGGACAGAAGAUGAGAGUUAUGACUGUGUCUUUCGUAUCGUUAUUCAGAAAGGGUCAAAUGGGACUGACACUGCCGGAUUGCAGGCGGUUGGUGGUCCGGGUAAUCGUGAAAUUUAUUUUGCCUCUAUCGACAUGACGGAUGUAAUCCAACAACUUGAUCUUCGCAUCGUUGAGUGUCGUUUCGUAAACGGAAAAUGGAUUUUGGUCAGAAUCAGGAACGAUCGCCCGCAUCCCCACAGCAGACGUGCCAUUAUAAAUAAAUUGAACAUGCUGGAAAAUCCCGUGACGAGGGAAACUUUAAGAACAGCUUUAGACAAGUCUAAAGAAAGGCGAGGAGUCACGGACCUCCUCUUCAACUGCAACACUUUGGAACUGUACGUUCCUUAAGAAACACUGGAAACGCUCUGUUGAUGAAAAGCGGACAACAACAUCAAAGUGAGAAUGAUAUUCCUGUGAGCUUUUGAUGCUUGCAUCUUGUCGGAGGAGGAGAAUUUUCGGACUGACUGCAUCAGUCGUUUUCGAAUCGAUUUUGAAUUUCUCUUUGUGCUGGGUCUUCGUUACGACUUUUGAUGUGGUGAAUCGCGCGUAUUUCUAUCCGGACGUGUCCAUCUCACCUUAUAUACUGUAGUUGUUGCAGUUGCUGAUCGAAUGAUAGGAGGAAGUCGGCCGCUCUUUUCUUUAAUUUCGUCAAAUUGAGCAAAUUGGCGUGAAGGAGAAGUUUGAUUUAUGUAUUAUUCAACGCCCAUUAUUUAUUGUUGCUUUUUUCCUUUUUCAUGGCGACUCAACAGACACAAAACACACUACUGGUUCGAUUUACCCUUUGUUGAAUUAUCAAGACACGAGCAAAUGGAGUGUGUUGUUGUUGUCUUUGUUUCACCUCGGACAAAAUUCUUUGACUGUUUUUAUUAGGUACUUUGAAUCAAGCUAUACCUUUUGUAAUUUUUUAAACUGCAAUUUUAAAAUUUAAAAAACGACUCAAAUAUAUCCGGGUCGGGCGACAAACUACUUACGUAGUAUUUUUUUUAAGGCUAAAACGCGAACUAAAAUUUUAACAUUAAAUACAGUGAAGUGGCAAAAAUAUCGAAUUCUAGGGACAACUGAAAGAAUUUUUUUAUUAAAUUUCAAUCAACAUAGGCCGCAGGAACUGAUCCGGGUCGGCGGCCAUCGACUAUCGCCUAUCGCCAGAACAGUUUGGGCUUUUUUGUGCGCCUCUUUUUAAAUUCGCCGGAUUCUUGUUUCACAACGUGUGUUUACUUUUUACAGUAUCGAUAUCGAUUCAUCAUCGAUACACCCGAUUAUUUCAUGUUUGCUGGUCAUCCACUGAAAUACAAAAACAUUUUCUUUUUCAAUUAUUAUGAGGGAGAGAGUGGGUGUAUUGGAUAAGGCGUCAUGUAUGAGUGGGUGCAGUGAUGCACGUUGAGACCAGGGUUCGAACCCCCAAGUAAAAAUUGUUAGUUGCUCAUACAGCCGCUGUGGCUCCCUCGGGAAGCGAUUAUGUAGCGUCAACUGAUUCAACAAUUUGCUACAGCCAGGGCAGGCCAUCGCCGUAGUGCGGUGGACACACUUGGGCAGUUUAAACUAUGGGUCCCUAGCUGGGGAUUGGCUAAGGGGUUGUGACACGUAAAAAGAGUCUCUUGGGGUUGGGUUGAGAUUUCCUUACGGGUACCAGUUAUCGUCUAACGCAUAGUUGGCUGUAGAAAAAAUGUAGCAAGUAACAUCAUGCUUGAUGGUAUCAAGUCGUCUUCCACCGGGUCUGUUGUCCGACCCGUGAUGCCUAGUAGUGGCCGUGUGAACAUAACAAAUUCCAAAUUAAAUAAAAUUCGAGACGCCGAGCUUUAUUGAAAUAAUUUAUUUUGUUGCAACAUGGUUGAAGCCCCCAGUACUUAAUUUCACAUUGGGGAUUCCCUUUUCAUGGUAGGAUUGAUUGAUUGCUGGUCCAUGUGUCCAGAUUUAGGUAAAAGUCACUUGUCUUAAUCGGUUCUCAAGUCCUCAAUAUUUAUUUUAUGUCAUCUUUUGUUUUUUUCCGGU
rnacentral:misc_RNA from 1 species